UGGUGUGUGUGUGUGUGGAUACAUGGAUACAUAUAUACAUCUAUGUGCAUAUUUAUACGUAUGUAUGUUUAUACAGAUGUAUUUAUGUAUCUUAGCCGUAUCAUAUCCUACUUUUUCAAGGUUUGCUAUGUUCAUGUAUCCAUAUGGUGUCGAAUCUCCUUAUCUCAUAUCCAUAUCUUUGUUUCAUAAUUGAUAUAUCAAUAUGCCACUUACAUAUACACAUAUAUACAUAUGUGUAUAUAUCUAUGUAUCUUAGCCAUGCAUAUCCUACUUCUUCAAGAUUUGCCGAAUCAGCAUAUCCAUAUCCUGUUGUAUCUGUACCUCUAUCCAUAUCCAUGCAGUAUGGGCAUGCAUUCACCAUUUUUGCAGUCACAUAUUGGCUCCUCUAUCACUAUCUCUUUUGGUUAGCUCCAAGUUCUUGCUAUUCAAGUUAAUUUGAUUUCAGAUUUUCUAGUGUUUCUGCUUAUUCGUUUCUCUAAUUGACAUGUCUUUUAUGCUUCUUGGUGCAUUUUGAUCAACUUCCUCAUCUCCAGUGAUUUCAGACAUAUUUUAGCACUCUGUUGCGAAGCGUUCUAGUCAAAUGGUAUUGCUGUGUAUAAUGUUGGUAGACUACAGAUUUAUUGCAUUAGAAAAGAGUACAUCAGAUGAAGCCCAUGUUCUGUAUCAAAGAUGUUAAAUUAAGAAAAGAUCAUAUAAGUUGGUUAUGUACAUGUGCAACAAAGCAGAUUAAGGACAAUCCUUUGCAAGAUAUGAUGUAGAACAUGAGGGUUUGGAAUGACAUGUAAAUAGUGAGAAAAUUUUCUUUUGGAUGAAAAUUAGUGAGACAAAAUUUGGGAAACUUGGUAGAUAAGAACCAUCAGUGAGAUGGUAAUGCUGUCGAUGUAGCAGGCUACCAAACUGACAGGAUAUGACUUGUUUUUCUGUUUAUUUUGGUUAAUAUCUACUGGUUUUUUUUUCUUUUUCAAGUAUGAAUCACAAGUAGGACCAGAUCACAUCUGUACUUCAUCUCUACGUCACUGGUUAAUUAUAUAUUUCUUCUUUAAUCUUCCCCUUUUCUUAUAUUUGAAUUAAGAGCUUAUUGCAUUCUUUCCUUUUCUUUUUCCUGCACAUGCUUUCUUUCUGUUUUGAUUCAACUGUUUUUAGACAAUCAUCCCACACUGAGUCCCUUCACUGUUCCAAGUUACCAUUACAUUUUUGUUCUUUUGCAGUAUCUGCUCUCUGGAAAGACAGAAGCCUGUAUUUGUGAUAGAUGUAUGGUUCAAAGUCAAAGGAUAAGUUUUAAGCAGUUAAGAUGCAAGAUGAUUGAAUAACAUAAUCGAUUACAGAGAAACUCGAUAUAAUGAAGGAGAGAAGGAUUGUCCUGGAUCAUUGACUGGUAUAGGGAGUCACAUUGUAGAGAAGCUUUGCAAAUAAGUAUUCUAUGUGUAAGAUUUAAGGUAGUUGCCGAUGUUGGAUUGAGUGACUGAACAAAUGAAUCUUAAGCAUACAAAUUAAUCUAGAAUAUUUGGAAAGCUUCAUCAAGAUACACUCUACAAUCAAUCUCUUAAAAGAGGGUUUUCAGACAAUAUUCUGGCAACUAGCUGUUCAACUAAUAUCUCUAAAAAGAGACUUUUCAGACAAUAUUCUGGCAACUAACUGUUCAACUGCUGUCCCAAUCAAUUAACAAGACAUGAUUUUAAAGAAUUUAAUGGUGCUAUUAUCAUUGCAUGUUGAUUUAAAUGCUCUUGGCAGACUCCUAGAUGGUACUUUCUCUGUUGUUUCAGAGAAGAGUAAGUGUGCUUGGGAACCUGGAGCAUUGAGCAAUCUGAGAUUUGUGUUGAUCAUAAAGCUAUUCAUUGAUGGAAGGGCUGGGACAUCCAUUAGGGCAUCUAUAUUGAAGAUUUGUGGAGAGGAUGGCUUUUGACAUGUUCCUAGUGGCAUGACAUGAGCCAUUGAUAUGGUGAAGUAUUAAGCAAGAAUAUGACCAUCUUUUCUUUUGUGGCCAAUAUAUUUGAAUUCACAGAAGAAAACUUAAGCAAGUUCAAGUUAUGGAAUUGAGUAAAUAACUAGUGAUAGCCAUUGAAGUAUAAGAACUAUAUACUUGUAAUCUUAACAGUAAUCUUUAUGUGUUGGACAGGAAAAAAAAACUUGAGCAAACAUCUCAAAGCUAUAACUACUCAACAUAGUAAAUAUUAAUAAAGGUAGUACCAGUAAAAUUUGUCCAAGACUAAUUAUCUGACCUUAACCAUUAGAAGGACCUUCAAACGUGAUUAAUUCUACACGAUGCAAAAUGUCUGCUUGAACAAACCUUAAUAUUGAGUAGAUGUUGACUUAUUGACUCGUACUCAACCACUCUAAUGAAGUUUUUUAUGAUGGUUGGUGGGAUCAAAUAUCAUUGUGCGUCAAGGUAUCAUGGAGCUUGUUGUUAGCUUUUCCGUAAUACACAAUAUUAGUUAGAGAUCCAAUUUGGAUGUUUUGGCCUUCCGAAGUUAUUAUUGAUUCAGCAAUAUAUAAUACGUGCCAUUUGGAUAUCCAGUUGAAAAUUUAUGCAUUGAAAAUUUAUUGUGUGCUUAUAGUGAUUGUUCUUGCUUAAAUUCAUCUAUUUGACUUCUUUUUGUCCUUGAUGUUCUUUAUGACCAAUUCUGCACCAGCUUCGCUUUGUGAUUGCCUAUGUUACCUGAAUGUGGUUUAUAGGACUCUCUUUUCAUUUAUGGCACUUUAAAGGAUCCCACACUACCCAUGACUUACUGGAAAUUUUUUUAGCUUUGAGUAUGGAAGGUCUGCUUAGUGAUUCACUUACCAAUUUAAUGAUGGUUAAUGCAGCUUGUAUAUUUCUGACAUGUUAUGUAUGUAUUCAUAUGAAGAUCGAUUAUCCAAAAAGCACUAAUGGUCCUCCUCUUGCUACAUUUAGGAAAAAAGAGCUUUUGUCAUUUGAUUGGAUUCUUCAAUGUCCAAUGAGAGAUUUGAGAGGGGGUAUAAAGAAGGCCUCAAAGUAAAAGGAGAGGAAAAGUCUUUCAUCAAAUAAAGGGGAAAGCACCACUUAAAUUUAUCAACUUUAAUGGGAAGGAGAGCACCUUUGAUGCAUUUACACCAAGCUUAAGUUGAUUAUGGACCCUCAAAAGAAAAAGCCUUCCUACCAAAACAGCGUGAUGCAAUAGUUACUUACAGGAAUGAGUAAAAGAAGUGGCUUUCCAGUUACUUUUACUGAAAGCAUUGCAUAGAUUCUUUCUAUUCCAGUUUCGAUGGAUAUUAUUUCUGAUGCCCACCACAUUAUUUCAUAGAACCAUUUACUGUAGGAUCUUCAUCCUAGUUUGUCAUACCAUUCAUGGACAUCAGGAAAAAUUCUCUGUUCUAGAAGUUCUUGAUCCCUCACUUCCAGUUUGGUUAUUGUCUUUUCUGUUGAUUGCCACCAAAAACCUAUGCUAUUUCUUAAUGAUCCCAGCUUUUCCACAUCAACAUCAACUUUCUAAAAUGAAUAUUGUGUUAUUUUUUUUUGUUUCCUGUAGAUUCUGUAGCUAGCGUGAUAAUUAUCAUCCUGAGCAAACAUCUGGUAGGUAAUACGCAUGUUGUUAUAUUGCCUUUUAGUGAGAUCGGAUGCUAUUGUGCUUGUAAUAUUUCUUGAAAGGGGUUCUGUUGUUAUUAUAAUACACCUGUUUCUGAUUGUUAAGGAUCUGAUUAUCUAUGUACAUGUUCAAGUAGAUUUCCUGAGAAGGAUGCUUGAUGAUGUUUGUUUUGUAAUACGUUAGUUUUUACUAAAUGUGUGACACGAUUAACUUUUAGUGCAUCGAAAGAAAACUUGCUGUAUUUGGAAUUGGACACGCAACUUUAUGCAGGUUUCUUGUAUUGGUUUCAACAAGAAUGGAUUAUCUGACAUUCUAUGGGUACAUUGAAUUAUACGUGCACCAAUUGCGAUAAAAAAGAAUGAAGGUUAUUACUUGAUAGGUCUCUCUUUCACACACAAACCCGACUUGCUUUUAUCCGAGUUGGCCAUAGCUUCUUAGCCUUUAAAGUUUGUCGAUAUGUUGGUCGGAAAAGGGCAUCUUGCUUGGCCUUUUCUGAGUGUCGGUGAGCAAGAAUCAUUUUCACAGUUUGGUGUCUUCUUCCUAUUGGCAGCUUUCCUUUAGUUUUCAACUUUCGCCUUUUGAUUUAUCCUUUGAUAAUGGUGUUGCACCAAUCACACGUGCUGCCAUUGAUGUACCACCACCCACUAACAUGUGAUAGGUGGAUCUGCAGUAUGUUUCAUAUGUUGAUGAUGUGAAAAUUGGUGCACGUAUGAUGAGACGAAAUUCCAAGUUGAGAAUUAAAAGUAUGAAUAUAAGAUAGCAUUGUUUAUGAGCAUAAAUUUAUUGUGAUUGAUUUUAAAUUCUCUCAGAUCAAACUUAGUUUUAACUCUCUAUGUUAUUACGAGUUGAAUAAAGAUGUGUGUAGUAUUAGUGGAGUCGGAUGAAUGGAAUAAAAAUUAUGUUUUGCUUGUAAGUGGAACUACAAAUUUAUGCUAUACAAAUAUGUGCAGAAAAUAAUCCCGGGCAACGAGCAGCUAGCAACUCCACAAAUAAUAGCCGGCACUCAUAUUUCUCGGUGGAAUUGCGUAUAAACUUUUGGGGGAAGUAUUUCAUGUGAAUCAAAUAUUACUAAAGGACGAGCGAGUAUCGUUCUCAUCGCGUCUGAUUGUUUGUUUCCCGUUUUUUGCAUCCAGUAUGAAUUUCCAAAGGCCAACUAUCGCCCAAUCCUUUUGCCAAAAAAAAAAAAAAAACAGAAAUACUGCCCAAUCCAAAAAAAA